UUCUUUUGGAUCAACGCGUCUUAUCAAUUACACCCUUUUGGAGUCGCCUCUUUUUUCAAUCUAUAUAUAUGCUAGUUUCAAAUUAAUUUUCCCUUUUACAUUCACUCAUCGUCCAAGUUUUUAAACAUAUUUAUUUUCCUCUCAUACAGUUCCAUCAUUUCCUUCGUAUCUGUUCUUGUCUCUGCAAUAUUUUAUUUCGAUGUCACUCUUGUUUCGUUAAUUAUAGGAAAGUAAAUCAAUCAGUGACAGUGGUUGUUGUUUUAUUUGAAGGGGCAUCUAUCUCUUUUAAAGUGUUUCCGAUUGCAUAGGAGGAGAUGGAGUGAAUCAUGUCUUCUUUUUGGCCAACUAAGAUUACUUACCGAUUUCGAAUUUAUUUUGUCUCUGACAUUGGUACUUUCCAAGUUUUUUACUGCAGUUAAUUAUAAUGUUUUCUACUCAAUUUUCAUUUCACUUUUCUGUAUUUUUGUUAAUUGGUAUUUGAUGCUUUGCCAGAAGAAUUGAUCUGAAAGUCACUUUUUUCUAUUUUCUAAUUCUAUUGAUGUCCCUUUUCAUACGUGUAUUGUUCAAACAACACCCAAUUAUAAUUGAAUAAGGAACAAUUCUCUUUAAGGCACUGAACCAUGUGGGAGACAAACGUUUGAAAAACAGAGAAGACACAGAAGACACAGUUAUCGUAUACUUAAACUCUACCAUACAUAGAAAAGGAGUUAGUGAAGAAUUUGAUGGUUUGAAGUUAAGUGAUACUAUGUAAAAGACAUUUAUGAAUCUUUUUUUUUGGGUUUCAAAAAAGUUGAUCCAGAUUAUUGGGAAGUUGUAAUUAAAAUAUUUUUAAGAGGGCAAAAACAGUCGUGCGUGCGUUGAAGUGGGGAAGUUUGAACUUGGAGAAGAAGUGGAGAGACUCAUACGGUAAGUUCCUAUGAGCAUUUUUGAUCUUUAUGCAGGAUGUUACAAAUCAGUGAAUUACAAAUACAAACAUUGGUUCAGAUCAGUGACAUGUAGUAUUAAUACUGAUUACAGUAUGAUUUGUAAUUCGAUAUAACUUGAAGUAAAAAUUAAUCCUAAGUUCAGUUAAAAAAAAAAAAUAAUCCUAAAUUUAUGUGGUAAGUUUGCAGUAAAAAAUAAGAGUUAAUAUUUUUAAAAACUAUUAACUAGUAACCUUUUUGAUGUAUAAAUUGCACAUAAUUUUAAUAAAAUAAAUGAACAUAUAUACAUAUAAAUAGUAAAAUAUUUAUCAAAAACAAAUAAACCAUUACGAAAACCCCAUUAAGAUAUUUAAAAAUAUUUUAAAUAAGUAUUAAAUUUGAAAAAUAAUAUAUAUUAUUAUCUAAAUAUUAUAAUGUACUAAUAAUAUCUAUUCUAAUAGCAAAACUAAAUGAAAUGAAAUGACUUGAUGCCACACUAACUUAGGGUCAUAUAUAUAGAAUUUUCUGAUUGGUAUUUUUGAAAAAUUAAAUAAAAUUAAUGCUUAAAAUUUUGUAUAAUAAUUAGUUAAAAGUUUGAAUAAUUUGAAAAAUAGGAACAAGAAUGAUUAUAAAAACCUUUGACUAGCACAAAAUUAGGUAGAGUAACUUGUAACACGAAAGUUUUUCAAAAUCACUAUUUUCAUUUUUACUUUUUAGACAGAAAAAUCAAUUAACUUUGUAAAUCAACUUCUAAUACAUGGAAUUUUGGUUGAUGUUGAUUUAAGUUUUGAUUUAGCAAUUUUAUAAAGGAUCUAAGUCAAAAUGGUAACUCAACUAUAACACAUGUUAAAUCAAACUUAAAAUAAAUAAAAUAAAUUUAAUGCAUGAUUGAUAACAUUUUUACGAUCAUAAAUCAAACUUAAUCAAGUCUAGUCUACCACAUGACACCAAUAAAAGUCAUUAACUCUUCAUAAUAUAACUUACUCUAUGUAUUAAUGUGAAUUAGAUGCUUUUGUUUUUUGUACUGGUUAAAAGGUUAUUUAGUUGUAUUACUCUCAUUGUCCCUCAAAAAGAAACACUGCCAAAAAAAAAACAGAUGAAGAAAUAAACCAAGAAUGAGUUCAUCAAAAUGUUUUUUUUUUGAAACUUUGAUGACUUCAUCAAAAUUUUGUGAUGAUAUUUUUAAUAUUCAGAAAAUUCAUGUAACAUGUGAAAGAAAGUCACCCUCAUGGAGGAGGCAAUGAGCAGCAGGACAAGUGAACGUCCUGGCGAAGUGUAAAGUUAAGGUUUUUCUUUACUGCUACACCAGUCCCUCCGGUAACAGCCAUGUAGUUUGUAUUAGCGAAUCCUUGAAGAUCAAUGAGUUUGGUGAAAGGUUUCAAUGGAUUGUUUGUAAACCUAAUGCUCAUUAGUUUAAAGUUGUGUUCCUUCCAACUUAAGCUGGCUACACAGUAAGUCCAUAUUAGUACAACACACAUAGCCUUGUGAAAGAUUACACCCUAACUGCUAAAUGCAAGCCUAAAUAGAUACCCUGAAAACUGAUUUCUUGUUAUGACCAGAGAAAGGUAACUAACAAUAAAAUGAUUUCACCAAAACUCUGGAAGGGAUUUUCCCUCUGCAACCUCUCAUGUAAUACGUUAUUUCAGUUAUGAACGAAUAGUUGGAGUACAACGGCCAUCUUUUGUAUUUGCAAAGCUGCAAUCAAGAAUUUACAAAAUAAAAAAAAAAAUUCAGAAACCAUAGGCAUGAACUCUCUUGUCUUUCAAUUUCUAAAAAGUAUGUGUAGAAAAAAAAAUCGUCAUAUUUGGACAAAACGAAAAUCAGUAAUUCUCUGAGAAUAUAAACUAUUUAAAUGUAUCAUCCUAUUAUUUUUGGCAGGUAACAGUUGUAAGCUUUGGUGACAGAUCAUUACAAUUUUUUUUUAAAGUUGGGGAUUAACAAAUGUAACAACAAAAAAUAGUGAAAGUUGUAAAACAAU